UAUUUGCUUAGCUUGUUGUGGUUCCAGUUUCGCUAGGUUGGCGGGUUGCAUUUCUAGAUUGGAUUUGGAUUGUUGUGUUUUCACGAUAUCCAAAUCUCUCUUCAAUUAAACUUCAUAUGUGUUGGAAGGUUUAAGUUUGUGCAAGUAGGUGACAACACCGCCACACUACCUUGGGUCCUUUCCACUCCAUGUGGGACUGUUUAUUUCUAUUAUUGACAUUAUUUGUCGAGGUUAUUCUCUAGAGGACUCGAUAGGCACUCGAUUCUUGUUGUUAGUUUUUAGAUCGUUGAAGUUUUCAUAUUUGUUGAAAUUUACAGAUUUCCAAGGUUCAGGUUCUGCGUCGGUGCUGCCGUGAUAUAUGUAUUGGUGAUUGUAUUUAAUCGGAUUGUUUGAUACCCUCAUCAUCCUCUCAGUUUAAUUUUGGAUAGUUGGGCUUAAAAGAGUUGUGUUGCUUAAUGUCUUUUCCUGGAGGGAGUUAUUAGAUCUCGGAUGGGUUCCGUAUUGAGUAUUGACGCUCGAUCCAUACACGAGUCCCUCAGAGGCAAAGCCAUUGUUGAUGCCUCAAAUGUGCACGUAUCAUGCCUCAAAUUUGUUUAA
rnacentral:lncRNA from 1 species